rnacentral:tRNA from 1 species
ACUGAGGUAGCUCAAUGGUAGAGCAUCCCUACUAGAGAUGGGAAGGUCCUGGGUUCGAGUCCCGGCCGCGGUG